AGAGUUUGAUCAUGGCUCAGAGUGAACGCUGGCGGCGUGCUUAACACAUGCAAGUCGAACGAGAACGGGUUAUAGCUUGCUAUAACUGUCAGCUAAGUGGCGCACGGGUGAGUAAUAUAUAGGUAACAUGCCCCAAAGAAGAGGAUAACGUUUGGAAACGAACGCUAAUACUCUAUAUGCCUUUAAGUCAUAAGACUGCAAGGGAAAUAUUUAUAGCUUUGGGAUUGGCCUGUACAGUAUCAGCUUGUUGGUGAGGUAAUGGCUCACCAAGGCUAUGACGCUUAACUGGUUUGAGAGGAUGAUCAGUCACACUGGAACUGAGACACGGUCCAGACUCCUACGGGAGGCAGCUGUGGGGAAUAUUGCACAAUGGACGAAAGUCUGAUGCAGCAACGCCGCGUGGAGGAUGACACAUUUCGGUGCGUAAACUCCUUUUAUAUAGGAAGAUAAUGACGGUACUAUGUGAAUAAGCACCGGCUAACUCCGUGCCAGCAGCCGCGGUAAUACGGAGGGUGCAAGCGUUACUCGGAAUCACUGGGCGUAAAGAGCGUGUAGGCGGGUUAAUAAGUUGGAAGUGAAAUCCUAUGGCUCAACCAUAGAACUGCUUUCAAAACUGUUGACCUAGAAUAUGGGAGAGGUAGAUGGAAUUUCUGGUGUAGGGGUAAAAUCCGUAGAGAUCAGAAAGAAUACCGAUUGCGAA
rnacentral:rRNA from 1 species